AGACUAUGAUAGGCUCAACUUUAGAAUGUUUUAAUUUACUAGAGGGAGGAGACACAAAACUCAGAGCCACAAGCAAUUUGGUGGGAAACUAGGCCUCAAAGCUGAAAAUGCAAAGUCGAUUGGGGGAAGAUUUUUAAAUAAGUGGGUCAGAGGGACCAAGAGGAGAGGAGGCGAUCAAUCUUAACCCCCUGACAGCUCCCUCCGAUUGCUUCAAAGAAUUUGGCUCUUUGGGAAAGCAGAGGGAACAGCCUAAAUUCCACAUCCCUUAAAAAGGCCUGAGGGAGGGAGCAGCAAAAGAGAAAGCCUAGAGAAGAAGGCUGGUUAGCAGAGAAAUGGCAACUCAGCGGAGAGCUGGAACUAGAAACUUUCUGUCAGUGUAACGUCUGCGUGGGUGGUGACCCAAUGGUGGUUGGGCUUCGGGUCACGUGACAGCCUCCUUGUAGCUCCGGAAGAGAACCGUGAAGUUUAGGUUGCCUGGAAGAAGCAGCGGCUCUGAAUUUCAGGAUCUCUCACCAUCCCUGAGCCCUCUGGAACUUGAGAAUGAAAGGGAGGACAAAAAAAAAUCAAGAUCUUGGGGGAUUUCCACAGAGAUGGAAGAUCUUGAUCUGGCGCUCGCUGAGGUUCAGCAAAUUAGCCAUCUCCACGCGGCGCGGCCGGCACAAGUAGCGGUUGAAGUGGAACUCUUUCUCCAGCUCAACCAGCUGCGCGCUUGUG